GCCCGGUUGGCGGAAUUGGUAGACGCGCUCGGUUCAGGUCCGAGUGAUUUUAUCAUGCGAGUUCAAAUCUCGUGCCGGGUA
rnacentral:tRNA from 1 species